AGGAUUAACGCUGGCGGCGUGCCUAACACAUGCAAGUCGAACGAGGUAGCAAUACCUAGUGGCAGACGGGUGAGUAACGCGUGGUCAACCUACCGUUGAGUGGGGGAUAACUAGCCGAAAGGUUAGCUAAUACCGCAUACGUCUCCGAGGGGCAUCCCUUGGCGAUAAAAGGAGCAAUCCGCUCGAUGACGGGACCGCGUCCCAUUAGCUAGAUGGUGGGGUAAUGGCCUACCAAGGCGACGACGGGGUA
rnacentral:rRNA from 1 species